UACGGAGGGUGCAAGCGUUAUCCGGAUUCACUGGGUUUAAAGGGUGCGUAGGUGGGUAGGUAAGUCAGUGGUGAAAUCUCCAAGCUUAACUUGGAACUGCCGUUGAUACUAUUUAUCUUGAAUAUAGUGGAGGUGAGCGGAAUAUGUCAUGUAGCGGUGAAAUGACUUAGAUAUGACAUAGAACAUCGAUUGCGAAGGCAGCUCGCUACACUAUUAUUGACACUGAGGCACGAAAGCGUGGGGAUCAAACAGG
rnacentral:rRNA from 1 species